AAAAUAUGAUGUUUUGGGUGAUCUCUCACACUUGUUUUUCUUGUCAAAGUACUCUCUAAAACAUUACAUGCCUUCCUUGGGCGAGUUCUAUUGUUUAAUAUAAGGUUUUGGGCUAAAAAUCCCGUGUUUUGCACUUCAGUCCCUCAAUUUUCCGCUUCCUAUCGCGGUCCUACCGCGGUUACGCCAGGACCGCGGCCAACUAGCCUCUCAGAAUCCGCAACAGCCUUCUGCCGCGGUCCGACCGCGGUUACGCCAGGACCGCGGCAGUCCAUCUCCAGUUCUGGUUUUGUUGUCUUCGCGUGGUGCACUCAGCGGAUAUUGUACGAUUGGCCUCUUUUUCUCCGUAAUUGAUCCCAAAAGUACUCCAUAGACUUCUUUUAUUGUAUAUAGCCUGCAAAGCAUGAAAAGCACUAAUCAGAACAUUUUGUUGUCACUUUUUACCAUAAAAACUAUAUAAGAAGGUGGUUCUUUAGGGCCUAAUUAUAGUCCAAUUCACCUAUUAUCAUACUUGGCGAGGUAUCUUAUGAAGAAGAACUUCUAUGGUGACUUAUUAGGCUAUAGGAGAUUGGUGUAAAAUGUAAAAGCAUUAGCACAAGAGAUCUGUGUAUAGCUGGCUAGCUUACCUUAUUCUUCCUGGCUUUGCUAACUUUUUCUUUCAAACUGUCUUCUGCAGGGUGUUACUCUUUUAAUUCUUAUGAUACACAUUUUAUUUCCAAUAUCAUAUGAAGGCUUCCAUCUCUACCGGAAAAGUCUUCUUAAUAGAAUGAAGGUCAUUUUGCUGUUUAUCUUGGUUGCAGAUAUUGUCGUCUACAUUCUUUUCCCCGUAAACUACUAUCUUCCAUUUCGUAUUGCACCCUAUCUCAGGGUGGUGUUCUUUAUUUUGAACAAUAGGGAAUUAUGAGAUGGCUUCCUCCUUCUUGCAGGAAUGCUUGGUACCUACCUUAAUGUUGUGGCUUUAUCUACUUUAUUUCUUCUAUUCUCAAACUGGUUAGGGUACGCCUUUUUUAAAGACACGCGGCAGGGAGAAACCACGUUUACUUCAUAUGGUGCGACAUUAUACCAAAUGUUUCUUUUGUUUACUGCAUCGAACCAUCCAGAUGUAUGGAUCCCUGCAUACAACAGUAGGGUUCCUUUUUAUCAAAGAGGUCGAGUUUUCUCUCUUGUUGGUUGUCCGCGGCACAAACUCCUUCUGAUUGGGCUGAAAUAUGUAGACAUUCAAGGAGAUGGUUUCUGGAGAAAUCUUGUCUUCGGAUAAAAAUCAGCUUCACCGUCACCUCCAAGCCAAAAUUGACUCCGCUAAUGUUGCCACAUCCAAUCAUAUGCAAUCAGGUACUGCCUUUGCUGAUAACCUUAAUUCUUGGAUUAUCGAUUCUGGUGCAAAUAGACACAUGACAGACUCCUCUAAAGGCAUUAAAAACUAUUCUCCGUCUCCUAAAGGAGAUAAUGUUAAAAUAACCAAUGGUUAUUUAACACCUAUCUCUGGAACAGGUUCUAUCAUUUGUACUCCUAAUAUUAAACUAUCAUUCGUGCUCCAUGUCCCUGAGUUCCCUAUUAAUCUUUUAUCUGUUAGUGACAUCACCAACGCUCAACUAUAAAAUCAAGUUCUUUCCCGAUCAUUGUAUUUUUCAGGAUCUUCAAAUAGGGAAAAGGAUUGGCAGUGGUAAAUUGCGUGAUGACUUGUAUAUAUUAGAUGGGAUUCAAAACUCUGGUCAAGCCUUUCUGGGGGAAAGUAAGGAUGUCAACCACGAAAUAAUACAACAGCAUAGACGGUUAGGACACCCAUCAUUCUUUGUUUUGAAGAAGUUAUAUCCCGAUUAGUUUUCAAGGACUCGAUUUGAAUCUUUGUGAUGCGUGUGAAUAUGCCAAGCAUACUAGAAACUCUUAUCUUGUGAGAGAUAAUAGAAGCACAACUUCAUUUAUGACUAUUCAUUAUGAUAUAUGGGGUCCUACCCAAACUGGUUCUAUGUCUGGUAGUCAAUGUUUUGUUACGUUCAUUGAUUGCUGCACUAGGAUGACUUGGGUAUAUUUGUUAAAAUCCAAAAGUGAAGUUUUCUCUUGUUUUCAGACAUUUUAUAAGAUGAUUUGUACUCAGUUUGAUGCCAAUAAAAAUCUUCAGAACUGGCAAUGGCAGCGAAUACAUGGAUAAAAGAUUUGGUGCUUAUUUGGAGUCCAUUGGGAUAGUCCAUCAGACUAGUUGUCCUUACAUUAGUGCACAAAAUGGGGUCGUACAAAGAAAAAUAGGCAUCUGUUAGAAGUAGCAAGAUCUCUUAUAUUCACCAUGCAUCUACCAAAACUUUACUGGGGGAUGCUAUUCUAGCGGCUACCUAUCUUAUCAACAGAAUGCCACUUAAACCCCUCAAUUUUCAAAGUUCUCUGGAAACUUUAAAGGGUAAGAAUGAAUAUACUGCUCCUCCAAAGGUGUUUGGGUGUGUUUGCUUUGUCCACACUAGAAACUCUGGGAAACUUGAUCCUAGAGCUAUAAAAUGUGUUUUCAUUGGGUAUUCUCCGACACAUAAAGGUUACAAAUGUUAUCAUCCUCCCUCUAAGAGAUUUUUUGUUAGCAUGUAAGUUACCUUUCGAGAAUCUGAGCCCUAUUUCAGUAUUACCUCAUUACCUCUUCAGGGGGAGAGCAGUAAGGAGGAAGAGGUGAUUUUACCUAGUUCCAUUAUUGGACCUCUAGAUGAUAUUGUCAGGGGAAAGUGAAAUUGGAGAAAGAAUUCAAGGGGAGACUAUUGGGUGUUUGGAUAGGCCUGAUUUGAAAACUUACUCGAGGAAAAAUAGAGCAAAAGAAGCCAUCAUGCAAUAUACCGAAGCUAAACCUUCUUCUACUGGUGAGUUAUCUACAUUUCCUGAUGAGUUAGAUGAACUAUUGCUCUCAAAAAAGGAGUCAGAUCUUGUACCACCAAAUACCCUUUAUCUAAUUUUGUCUCUUAUAAUUCUCUGUCUCCCUCCUAUAGAGCCUUUACCUUGUCUAUUUCUUCUGUGUCUAUUCCCCAGAAUUGGAGGGAAGCUUUUGCAGAUCCUAAAUGGAAGAAAGCUAUGAUUGAAGAAAUGAAGGCCUUGUCAAAAAAUGAGACAUGUGAACUUGUCACUUCGCCACCAGACAAGAAGUUGGUUGGCUGCAAAUGGAUCUUUACUACGAAGCACAAAGCUGAUGGCUCAAUUGAAAGAUUCAAAGCAAGAUUGGUGGCUAAGGGAUUCACUCAGACUUAUGGAGUGGAUUAUCAAGAGACAUUUGCCCAUGUUGCUAAGAUGAACACUAUUAGAAUUCUUUUAUUUGUGCACCUAAUCUUGAUUGGGACUCGCAAUAGUUUGAUGUGAAGAAUGCAUUUCUUCCUGGAAACUUAUAAGAAGAGUUAUAUAUGGAGAUUUCUCCUGGAUUUGAUACUACACAGAGUCGAGGAAAGGUAUGCAGAUUGAAUAAAGCCUUAUACAGACUGAAGCAAUCCCCCAAAGCUUGGUUUGACAGAUUCAACAAAGCAAUGAUCUCCUUCGGUUACCAAUAAAGGAAUAUUGAUCACACCCUCUUCAUAAGACAUUAAACGGGUAAACUCACUCUUCUCAUAGUUUAUGUUGAUGACAUAGUAAUGACAGGAGAUGACAAAGAGGAGAUGUCUCGAUUGAAAAAGUUGUUGGCACAUGAAAUUUGAGAUCAAAGAUCUAGGAAAAUUGUAGUAUUUCUUGGGAAUUGAGGUUGCUAGAUCCAAAAGAGGAAUCUUUAUUUCUCAAAGGAAGUAUAUUCUGGAUCUUUUGAAAGAAACCGAUAUGACAGGUUGCAGACCCGCAGAAUCGCCCAUUGAAAGCAAUCACAAGUUACAAAGCGGAGUUGGAGAAUCAGUUGAUAAGGAGAGAUAUUAGAGGCUGGUUGGAAGACUCAUUUAUCUCUCCCACACUAGACCAGACAUAGCCUAUUCAGUUAGCGUGGUGAAUCAGUUCAUGCAUGAUCCCCGAGAUCCUCAUAUGCAAGUUAUCUUUCACAUUUUGCAGUAUCUGAAGUCUGCUCCAGGGAAAGGUCUACUUUUCUCCAAACAUGAUCACCUCCAAAUAAAAGCUUUUACAGACACGGAUUGGGAUGGAUCUCUAGAUGACAGAAGAUCAACAUCCGGUUACUAUACGCUCGUAGGAGGAAACUUGGUUACUUGGAGAAGCAAGAAGCAAAGUAUAGUUGCUAGAUCAAGUGCCGAGGCAGAAUAUAGAGCUAUGGCCCAGGGUGUUUGCGAACUGCUUUGGCUACAAAAGCUACUACAGGAAUUAAGACGGUAUGAAAAAGGAAACCUUUCCUUGUAUUGUGACAAUAAAGCUGCCAUCAGUAUGGCUCAUAAUCCAGUCCAGCAUGACCGAACAAAGCAUGUGGAAAUUGAUCUACACUUCAUCAAAGAAAAAGUUACAACUGGUGUCUUGAGUUUGUUUCAUGUGUCAUCGGAAAAACAGCUAGCUGAUGUGUUUACUAAAGGUCUCAACAAGCGAACUUUUCAUACUUUGAGUUGCAAGUUGGGCAUGUGUGACAUCUUGGCACCAACUUGAGGGGAAAUGUUGAUUAGCAUGAUUUCAUUUGAUUAUAUUUAGGAGAUCUGAUUUUAUUCUGAUUUGAUUUGAUAGCUGGACUGAUUGUAUAGAUUCAUUUUAUUUCCUUAAUUAGCAUUAGGAGCUUUAUAAAAAUUUCCUUACUCAUGGGAUGUAAACAUGCACAGAAAUACAAGAAGUCUUUUCUUCUUCUCAAAAUCUACAAAUAGUACAUGGAAAACUAAUUUUAACUUUUUCAACUUUGUGUCUUGACAUUUAGUUUACCUAGUCAUAUUUCCAUUUUGUCAAUUUUGAAUUUUACCUUUAGAUUACGCAAAUUAUGGAAUAGAUUUGAACUAUUGAUUCCCUAUUUUCCAUUUGCUUCGCAAUCUUGAGAUUUUUGCUUCACCCUAACUAUACUUUGUCUGUAAUGUGAAUGGUGUUGAUACCCAAUUUUUUCCUGUGUAUUUUUAUGCUC